rnacentral:rRNA from 1 species
GACGUAGGGCGCGAGCGUUGUCCGGAUUUAUUGGGCGUAAAGAGCUCGUAGGCGGCUUGUCGCGUCGUCCGUGAAAACCUGCGGCUCAACUGCAGGCUGGCGGUCGAUACGGGCAGGCUGGAGUUCGGUAGGGGAGACUGGAAUUCCCGGUGUAGCGGUGAAAUGCGCAGAUAUCGGGAAGAACACCCGUGGCGAAGGCGGCUCUCUGGGACGGUACUGGCGCUGAGACGCGAAAGCGUGGGGAGCGAACAGG